AGUGAACGCUGGCGGUAGGCCUAACACAUGCAAGUCGAACGGCAGCACAGUAAGAGCUUGCUCUUACGGGUGGCGAGUGGCGGACGGGUGAGGAAUACAUCGGAAUCUACUUUUUCGUGGGGGAUAACGUAGGGAAACUUACGCUAAUACCGCAUACGACCUACGGGUGAAAGCAGGGGAUCUUCGGACCAUGCGCGAUUGAAUGAGCCGAUGUCGGAUUAGCUAGUUGGCGGGGUAAAGGCCCACCAAGGCGACGAUCCGUAGCUGGUCUGAGAGGAUGAUCAGCCACACUGGAACUGAGACACGGUCCAGACUCCUACGGGAGGCAGCAGUGGGGAAUAUUGGACAAUGGGCGCAAGCCUGAUCCAGCCAUACCGCGUGGGUGAAGAAGGCCUUCGGGUUGUAAAGCCCUUUUGUUGGGAAAGAAAAGCAGCAGGUUAAUACCCCGCUGUUCUGACGGUACCCAAAGAAUAAGCACCGGCUAACUUCGG
rnacentral:rRNA from 1 species